GACGAACGCUGGCGGCGCGCCUAACACAUGCAAGUCGAACGAGCGAGAGAGAGCUUGCUUUCUCGAGCGAGUGGCGAACGGGUGAGUAACGCGUGAGGAACCUGCCUCAAAGAGGGGGACAACAGUUGGAAACGACUGCUAAUACCGCAUAACAUUUGAGGGUGGCAUCACUCUUGAAUCAAAGGAGAAAUCCGCUGAAAGAUGGGCUCACGUCUGAUUAGCUGGUUGGUGGGGUAAAGGCCUACCAAGGCUGCGAUCAGUAGCCGGACUGAGAGGUUGAACGGCCACAUUGGGACUGAGAUACGGCCCAG
rnacentral:rRNA from 1 species